UUAAUAUUAAAUAUAGGCGGCAUGCCCUCUUCUUCUUGUUCGUAGCGCCGCCGACCAGUUUGAUAACAAGACUACAGGUAAAAUCCAAGCAAGUGUACCAUUGACCUCAACUCGCCCUCAGCUCUAGGUAUACUCCAGCGCAUCAGAGUUCAGGAUGAUUAGAACUAGAGCAACAACUGUGCCAACACCGGCAAGACAGGGUGUGUCUAAGACAACCAUUGGGGCUGUAACUCGAGGAGGAGCAGUGGCAAGAGGCCGUGGUAGGGGUCGCAGGAGGACGACCACUAGAGGCAGAGGACAAACACCUGGUCCAGCUAGGAAUAGAGCAGUGACUCCUCCACCGACUAAUGAGGUAGUGAGAGAGGGUGAAGAAGGGGAAAAUGAGCAGGUUCAGGAUAAAGAAGUACCACCCGAUCCUACCCAGAGACGAUUAAUCAGGUUCUUGCUUAUCUUAGUAGGUUAUCUGAUCAGGGUCAGACACCUCCAGUGUUUUCUGCACCAGCUCCUAAGGUUCAGGGAGUACAACAUGCAGCUGUUCUGGCUCCCCGCAUGGAUGCAUCAUCGAAAGUAGGCAAGUGUCCUCGAUUGACUACAGGUCUAUAAUGAUAGGUGAUCAGCAUGAACUUUUCAUUAAGUUCUUAAAGUUGAAACCUCUAGUCUUCAAGAAUGUUGAAUCUGAAGAUGCCUAUGAUUUUCUGGUUUAUUGUCAUGACCUGCUACAUAAGAUGGACAUAGUAGAAUAAUUCGGUGUUGAAUUUUUGACCUACCAACUUCAGGGGGAUGCCAAAAUGUGGUGGCAGUCAUAUGUUGAGUGUCAACCAUAAAAGGCACCACCUAUGACUUGGGCAUCAUUUUCUAACUUAUUUAUGGAGAAGUAUAUACCCCGGACAUUGAGGGAUAGGAGGAGAGAUGAGUUCCUGAGCCUAGAGCAAGGAAGGAUGUAUGUUGCUGCUUAUGAGCCAAAGUUUCGUGCACUAUCCGGGUAUGCCACUAAGCUUUGCUUCAGUCCACAAGAGAUGAUUCGCCUCUUUGUGAAAGGAUUGAGGCUGGAUCUAUAGAUUCCAACCUUACAGGUAGCGGCUGCAGCAAAAUCCUUUCAGGAAGUGGUUGAUUUUGUGAUAGAGGUAGAGGGGGUGAAGUCAGACGACUUCACCACGACGUCGACAUUUAUAAAGUUCCGUAAGGGAGUUUAUUUUAGUGGUUCUUACACCAGAGGGCAGAGUUCAAGAGGUUACCGAGCCCGUCCUAUUCAGUCUUCAUUGCAGGCUUUAGCUGGGGGUCCAUCGCAGACCAGUCAGCCAUUUUCUGAGUUUGGAGGUUACCUCUAGACUUCGUCAUUUUCACAGAGACCUAUACUUGACUCCAGGAAUUGUUAUGGAUGUUGAGAAGAGGGACAUAAUAGGAAAUAUUGUCCAAAACAGAGUUACAGACCCCCAGUAGUUAGAGGUAGAGGUGGUCAUGAUAGAGGUCGUCAUUCUAGAGGAAUGUGGUGGCCAAGGUAAUGGUGGUCACCAAUUCACUCGGGUUGGCUGGUAAGUUGGAACUACUACAGCGCAGCUUGGUAGGGGCAAUGGACAGACAGGUGAUAGGGCCCAUUGUUAUGUUUUCCCCUGGAGGUCUGAAGCAGAGACAUCAGAUGUUGUUAUCACACGUACUAAUUUGGU